UGUCGUACUCUCACGACAGUUCCCGUCGUGUUCUGGAAGAAUGAAAGUGUAGGCACACUGCCCAUGUUGAAUCCGGUUAUAUCUUCUCCCACCGUUUUCUGGACCUCGGCGCUGGUUGCUGCACCCUAUAAAAACAAAGAAACAAAAAAACAUGACACUGAAAGUACUAAUGUCAAUCUGGAAAAAAAGUCUCAAGAUGAAUUUUAAGCAGCUGGAAAACACAGGGACAUGUACAAUGAACUCAUAUGUUUUAGGACUUCAGCUGAGGAGACACUGGGUGUAUCUGAGGCUCCUCGUGACAUGCUAAAGAGCAUAAGCUUCCAAGGACCUGAACCUAACCAACAGCAAUACGAUGAGAAAAAUUGUGGCACAUAGAGGUGAACUACCCAAGAUCGAUGAUCUCUUAUGUAGCAGAACAGGAAUUUGAUCCUCAAUCCAUCUAAAUCUGGGGCCCACAUUCUUAUCCCACUGAGCUAUAAUGCCUCCAGCAAUACCUCAGUAUUAGGAAAUAGGGAGAAAGCAUUUCUUAAAUUUAGGGGACAGGAACAACAUGGCAUCUAUAACUAAGAUGGGUUUUCUCCUCCUCUCAACCAUGGCCUUCAUGGAUUCAUGUUAUGAUCUUUUAAAACAGAGCUAAUGUUAAGCAAAGAUGCACCAGUAUGGUUUUCCCAUCUACUAACAAACAUCCAAUCUGAUUGUUCGGGUUAUACUUAGAAUGAAUUCUCUAUGUUUAGUCCUGUACCAUAUCACCUGUUAUAUAUAUUGCUCUAAAAUAACAAUAAAUAAUAUAAAAUAGAGUUUAUUCCUCAAAAACACCAUCAAGUACUCCUCUAGUAUUCAUAUAGACCCCCUAUAAUGACAAAGGGACAAGAAAGCAUUCUCCUCCCUUGUAUACUGAACACAAGGUCAUUCAGCACAUAUUCUGUAGAUAUAUUCUUGAAACACAUUCUAUAUUCUAAGGGCACCAUUUUUUUUUUUUUUAAAGAUUUUAUUUAUUUGACAGAGAGAGACACAGUGAGAGUGGGAACACAAGCAGGGGGAGUGGGAGAGGGAGAAGCAGGCUUCCCACUGAGCAGGGAGCCCGAUGCGGGGCUCGAUCCCAGGACCCUGGAACCAUGACCUGAGCCGAAGGCAGACGCUUAACGACUGAGCCACUCAGGUGCCCCUAAGGGCACCAUUUUUGAUGGCUCUGCUCUGGCAAUUUCAGGGUUCAAGAAUAUCAGCAAGGCUAUGGCAGUGGUAGCUAUGUCUAAAAGGAAGCACUUGGCUAUAAUUCCUGCAGGCAGAGCCAAGACCCCUUCACUCAACUAUGUAGGCAUCAAAGGUAUCCACAACAGAUGGAAAUACCACACAGUGCUAAAACAGAAAAACAAGAAGAUGGAGGAUAUCACCUGGUGACUGACGGCACUUCAAGUCUUGAUUCCUACAUGAGAGAAAAAUGCAAAGGUCUCUCUGUCUCAGCUUUACAACUUCAGAAAGAACAUGUAUUUUAUAUCUUCUCAGAAACUCAGAAAGAACAUGAUUGGAAAGGAAUGGCUAGAAUCAUCAUGUGAUGAAUCAUGUACCCAAUGGCACAUGGAUGGUGACUAAUCCUUGUAGCCAAAGCUGAUAAAUGACCUCCACUGAGCAGUGACUAGAAAAUACAGGACCUUCUGUGAUUCUUUUUGUGAUUAGAGAGUUGUGACAACCUCUGCUCAUCAGACGUUGGAUGAACUGUUCAGUAGUGGUUAAGGUGGGAGGCAAAUUGCUUUCUCUUUGUUUUUGCUUAUUUCUUGUUUAUGUUAUUAAACAAAAUUGAAUUACA